UUUGGAAUGUGCCAUGUGAUUAAUUCAAAUGUUGCUGUUUUUGACAAGCCGAGUCAAUGGAAUAAGCCUGCCAAGUAUAAGAAGAGCAAUAUUGAACUGUCCAUAUAUGAUAGAGAUUUCUACAUACAGAUUAUCAAUUAUGCAAAAAUCUAUAAGGUUUAUAUUCAUAGCCCAGAUGAGAUAAUGACCUGGACGACUUCACCAUUUUCUUUUGAUGUUGAAGGCAUUGUAUCAUUCGGACUCUCCUCAUGGUCCACAAGAGUUUCUGAAGAUCUAAAAGCUAUGCCUAUGCGAAUACGUAAAUGCAGGUUCAUUGAUGAGCCCAUCAGUAAACGGUAUCCAAUAUAUUCCUACAACCACUGCAUUGUUGAAUGCAGAAUAAAUAUGAUAAAGAGAUUGUGUAGCUGCCUGCCUCAUUUCUAUAGGCCUCUUGCUAACGAAAAAAUAUGUCACAUACUACAACUUAAGUGUGUAAAUCGAUAUAGGGACGAGAUAGUUUCACUGGCAACUUCCAACUCUACUCUGCAAGCAUUCGAUUACUCGAAGGAUUUGCCACGAAAUGAAAAAGACUGUGGCUGUAUCAGCCCUUGUGAGCAAGACCUAUACCAUAAGGACCGAGAAGAUUUCACUCCAGAAAAAUCAAAGAGCACUUUCGAAAUUGGAAUAACAAAGAUACCUAAAGAAAGAGUAAUUAGAGACAUUAUAAUCAACAUAUUCGACGUCAUACUGAGGACUGGCGGGGUUGUCAACCUAUGCAUUGGAUGUUCUUUUAUAUCAAUGAUGGAGUUACUUGUAAUCACAGUUAAAAUUUGUUUCUCAGUAACAAAAAUACUAUUUGAACAAUACAUC